GAUGAACGCUGGCGGCGUGCCUAAUACAUGCAAGUCGAGCGAACAGACGAGGAGCUUGCUCCUCAGACGUUAGCGGCGGACGGGUGAGUAACACGUGGAUAACCUACCUAUAAGACUGGGAUAACUUCGGGAAACCGGAGCUAAUACCGGAUAAUAUAUUGAACCGCAUGGUUCAAUAGUGAAAGACGGUUUUGCUGUCACUUAUAGAUGGAUCCGCGCCGCAUUAGCUAGUUGGUAAGGUAACGGCUUACCAAGGCAACGAUGCGUAGCCGACCUGAGAGGGUGAUCGGGCACGCUGGAACUGAGAGACGGUCCAGACUCCUACGGGAGGCAGCAGUAGGGAAUCUUCCGCAAUGGGCGAAAGCCUGACGGAGCAACGACGCGUGAGGGAUGAAGGUCUUCGGAUCGUAAAACGCUGUUAUUAGGGAAGAACAAAUGUGUAAGUAACUAUGCACGUCUUGACGGUACCUAAUCAGAAAGCCACGGCUAACUACGUG
rnacentral:rRNA from 1 species